UUAGACCGCAUAUCAGUAAUCCUACAUAUUCUUAUAAAUAAGUAAGAAUUAUUGCAAACUUACUUUGUUGCUAAAGUGUUACUGUAGAGUAAACAACAGCUGAAGAAUAAUCGUGAAAAUGAGGUUUCUUUUAGAAAUCAUGUGUCUCUUCAUGCUAAUAGCAGCGAUGCAAGGAGUUUUUGCAGAACCAAGCGAACCCAGAAGCGCUUCUGCGAACGACAAGGAGAAUGGUAAUUGUGUCUGCACAUUGCCGUUCCCGAAUGCCGGGAUAACACCAACAUGUUGGUGUUAAAAUAAAUAAGAAUACGACGAGCAUCUUUAUGCUUCAUAACUAAAAUUUUAAGAUUGUUUUGAAAGAUUUGGAAAUACAGACGAUUAUAAAUUAAAAAUACGCCUUUUGUAAUUGCC